rnacentral:pre_miRNA from 1 species
AUAUAUACCACCUGGGGAACUCGUUAAUAUGCAGCUUCCCACACAGUGCAGGGGGGCGGAGCUUGAUUUUGCAUUUCUAACGUGCUCCCAGGUAUUGCUGGU